CACGUAGUUAGCCGGUGCUUAUUCUGCGGGUACCGUCAUCGAACCGUGGUAUUGGCACAGUCCUUUUCGUUCCCGCCAAAAGUGCUUUACAACCCGAAGGCCUUCAUCACACACGCGGCAUUGCUGGAUCAGGCUUUCGCCCAUUGUCCAAAAUUCCCCAUGCUGCCUCCCGUAGGAGUCUGGGCCGUGUCUCAGUCCCAGUGUGGCUGGUCGUCCUCUCAGACCAGCUACAGAUCGUCGCCUUGGUACGGCCUUUACCCCACCAACUAGCUAAUCUGCCAUCGGCCGCUCCAAUAGCGCGAGGUCCGAAGACUCCCCCGCUUUCACCCUCAGGUCGUAUGCGGUAUUAAUCCGGCUUUCGCCGAGCUAUCCCCCACUACUGGGCACGUUCCGAUGUAUUACUCCACCCGUUCGCCACUCGCCGCCAGGCCGAAGCCCCGCGCUGCCCGUUCGACUUGCAUGUGUAAAGCAUGCCCGCCAAGCCGUUACAACUCCGUAGACG
rnacentral:rRNA from 1 species